UAUCAUGGCGAAUGUUUGGACUUCGGUCUGGGCUAGUAGCUUUUUUGUUUUAAACCAUUUAACAAUACUGAUUAUACUGUGGGGACGAAAGUCUCUGCUUUUAACUAGAUAGCAACUUUCAGCAGUGGAUGUCUAGGCUCGCACAUCGAUGAAGAACGCUGCGAAC
rnacentral:misc_RNA from 1 species